rnacentral:snRNA from 1 species
GGAUGUGAGGGUGAUCUGGCUGCAACAUCUGUCACCCCAUUUAGCCCCAAGGUUGAUUUAGCUGAUCUAGCUGGCUAGGCUGGUGUCCCCUUCCUCCCUCACUGCUCCAUGUGCGUCCCUCCCAAAGCUGCAAGCUUCUUCGAAGAUGGACCCAUCUUUGGGUCUUUGGUCUAGGGUAUAUGAGUAGCUGCGUUCCCCUGCUAGAACCUCCAAGCAAGCUCUCAAAGUUUGUCAACUGUAGUGGAUUUUAGGGGAGGGGAGAGGUCAGAAUCAGGUGACAGCUUAAUUUAUUAGAGUCCAUAAGUUA